UGUGGAGAUACACACUUGGCUCUGUGUCAGGGUUGACAGCAAGCCUGUCAGCAGCCUGGCAUUUAUCGACGAAGCAGUGGACAUAAACUGGAUUACAGUAUACCCCUGAAAGGAGGAGAACACAGCACGCAGAAGAAUGUGGGCAACUUUCAGACAGGAAGAAGAUGGAGGACAGAAAUGGACUUCCUGUACUUUCUGCAAGUCAGGAUGACUCGACAAAAACUGUGUUUACUAGUUUGCAACCAAUCCUGGUGUGUGUAUACAUGAAAGUACCAAUAGCAGGUUGACAUGUGGAUGGCCUGAUGACCUGUACCAAUAGCAGGAUGACAUGUGUAUAGCCUGAUAUAUGUUUAUAUGAAGACACCGAUAGAAAGUUGACAUGUGUGAUAUGUGAAAAGUAUAAAUGUUUGCAACCUGUUACAAUAAAGUGAUUACAGC